rnacentral:rRNA from 1 species
GUGUCAGCAGCCGCGGUAAGACAGAGGGUGCAAACGUUGUUCGGAAUUACUGGGCGUAAAGCGCGUGUAGGCUGCUUGGAAAGUCGGAUGUGAAAGCCCUGGGCUCAACCUAGGAAGUGCAUUCGAAACUUCUGAGCUUGAGUAUCGGAGAGGAAGGCGGAAUUCUCGGUGUAGAGGUGAAAUUCGUAGAUAUCGAGAGGAACACCGGUGGCGAAGGCGGCCUUCUGGACGAUUACUGACGCUGAGACGCGAAAGCGUGGGGAGCAAACAGGAUUAGAUACCCCCGUAGUCC